AAUUCAUCAUCUUCUUGUUCUGCAGCAUCUCCUUGAAAUAAUCAGAAGACUUUGGCAAGAAUGCCUAUUUGUAGGCUGCAGCAGGACAUUUGCAACUGAUGUCAUAUUCACUGCAUGCUUUCAAACUGUUAGGUUGGCAGGAGCUCAGGC